rnacentral:rRNA from 1 species
UACGGGGGGGGCAAGCGUUGUUCGGAAUUACUGGGCGUAAAGGGCUCGUAGGCGGCCAACUAAGUCAGACGUGAAAUCCCUCGGCUUAACCGGGGAACUGCGUCUGAUACUGGAUGGCUCGAGAUUGGGAGAGGGAUGCGGAAUUCCAGGUGUAGCGGUGAAAUGCGUAGAUAUCUGGAGGAACACCGGUGGCGAAGGCGGCUGCCUGGCCCAAUACUGACACUCAGGUGCGACAGCGUGGGGAGCAAACAGG